GGAUUUUUGGAUGGAAUUUCUCCCCUUGAGUUAUGUCCUCAUUGGGUUGAGUCCUGAUUGACCGUUUUCUUUCUAGCUCUUCCCUAGAUAGAUACUUUGGUCCCCUAAGAGUCUAUUACCCAGUAACUGGUAGUAUUCUUCUUAGUUUACAGCUUGUUACUUCUUGCCUAAUACCCGACAAAAGUACCCUUAUUUUUUUUCUCCUCAGUAGAGUCCCCAGUGGAUCUAUUCCCCAGGAAGUAUAUCCUUG
rnacentral:lncRNA from 1 species